rnacentral:rRNA from 1 species
AGAGUUUGAUCCUGGCUCAGGACGAACGCUGGCGGCGUGCUUAACACAUGCAAGUCGAACGGAAAGGCCCUGCUUUUGUGGGGUGCUCGAGUGGCGAACGGGUGAGUAACACGUGAGUAACCUGCCCUUGACUUUGGGAUAACUUCAGGAAACUGGGGCUAAUACCGGAUAGGAGCUCCUGCUGCAUGGUGGGGGUUGGAAAGUUUCGGCGGUUGGGGAUGGACUCGCGGCUUAUCAGCUUGUUGGUGGGGUAGUGGCUUACCAAGGCUUUGACGGGUAGCCGGCCUGAGAGGGUGACCGGCCACAUUGGGACUGAGAUACGGCCCAGACUCCUACGGGAGGCAGCAGUGGGGAAUAUUGCACAAUGGGCGGAAGCCUGAUGCAGCAACGCCGCGUGCGGGAUGACGGCCUUCGGGUUGUAAACCGCUUUCGCCUGUGACGAAGCGUGAGUGACGGUAAUGGGUAAAGAAGCACCGGCUAACUACGUGCCAGCAGCCGCGGUGAUACUUAGGGUGCGAGCGUUGUCCGGAUUUAUUGGGCGUAAAGGGCUCGUAGGUG